GCAGACGUUCGUCUGAAAACGCCAACACAAGUCUGUUCACGCAGCCCUUUACGUCUGAAAGGCCACAAAACGCCAGAAAAAGAGAAAGCAACGGCCUAGUCUCUGGAGUCUAACCCUAACCACACUGGGACCGUUUCACUGCGUUAGCGCCGAGUUUAGAACGGCGAGCGCUGCCUUCUCUGGUUCAGCUAUGAGGACGUAUUUCCUGCAGCUGAUUACUGAAUGUUCAGUUCCUCUGGCUGCCAGGCCGGUGCUGCGUGUCUCUUAGCGCUCUCAGACAUCUCCAGACCACGGCGUUAACGCCAACGACACGCCAACCAGACGGCCGGCCGUCGGCUGACAAGCCAAUCAGGCGGCAGUCGGCUCCCCGAGGUCCAAAAAGUUCCUCAGAACACACCGAA